CCUAGUGGCAAUAGCGUUGUGGACCCACCUGAACCCAUGCCGAACUCAGAAGUGAAACGCAACUGCGCCGAUGAUAGUGUG
rnacentral:rRNA from 1 species